rnacentral:misc_RNA from 1 species
AGCGUUGCUAUCGGGGCCGCCUACCCGUGUACCCGGAAGACGUGCGCUACUCUCGGCAACUGCGUACUCGUGCCAUCACAUACACACACACACGCACACAUACGGACUGAGGCUGCGUGUUGAAACCGGCAACUGCCAGUUAAGUAAGAAGAAAAGAGGUUGCGCCGCACAGAGCACGUAGCCUCACGCUAACGUCGUUCCAGUCCACCACCCCCUCCUUCCCCUUCUCUCUCUCUCUUCGAGAAAAUGGAGUACGCUCAGAAAUCGGCGCGGCUGCCUCGCAGCGCUGAGGAGAAGGAGCGUUGGAAGCGCGUCAUCGUCAUUCUCGAGCACUGCCCGCUGCAGACAAUCCAGACGGACCGAGGUUUUGAGCUGCUGAGCGACCGUCACCGCUCCUACCACGCGCGGCACAAUCAGGACCCGGCAGAUUGGCGUCCUGACGUGGUGCACCAGUGCUUGCUGCAUCUGCAAGACUCUCCACUCAACCGGGCAGGCAUGCUGGAGGUGUUCCUGCGCACCAAGAAGCAAGUGUGCAUCGCGGUAGAUCCGCGUCUGCGCGUGCCGCGCAACGUGCGUCUUUUCGAGAAGAUGAUGGUGUCGCUGCUCUUCAAGCUCAAGGUGCGCGCAAGCACUGGCUACCUCUCCCUGUUGCGAGUGGUUGGCAACCCCAUCACGGACCACAUCCCAGCCGGCACCCGACUGUACCGUGUAGAAAAGGACGGCGAUCUCAUAGACCCCUUCACGUUCUGCGCCUCCUGCGGGUACGCGGCCGACGUUCUCGACAAGCAGCGCGUGGGCAGCAAGAUCAGCCUUGCCCAUCGUCGUCUCACCUCGAGCACGAGCGGGACGCUAGAGGAGACUACAGCGGAAGCCGGUACCGAGGAGUUCGCGAAGGCGCAGCGCAAGGCCGUCGAGCGGCGGCAGUUCCAGCCGUUCGCCUUCAUCGUUGGUGGUAUGUCACGCGGUGACGUCUCCGUCGACUACGCCCGACCAGGCGAGGUGUCGAGCAUCCGCCUAGGGGAUCGCGGUAUGUCCGCGGCGGCGGUAAUUAGCACCCUGCUGCACGGCUUCGAAGAGGAGUGGCUGCGUGAGGACAACGAGGCGUGUUGAGGCAUUGCCCCCGUCCCCACCUUCUCACCACCCUUCCCCCUGCACCGUCUUUCGUUGCUUGAGAGGAGCGCGAGCACUGGUGUCCGUGCAUGCAUGUGCGUGCUCUCUCGAUUUCUGCGCAUGUGCUGCUGUGUCUGCGGCGAAGCUAACCCAAGGAAGGUACCACGCGGCACAUCCGGAACUAAUUUCGUUUAAGUGAAAAGCGUGUUCAGCAAAGGGAGGUGCGCCUGUGUAUGUGCGCGUGUGCGUCUGCUUGCGGAUGUCGGAUACCUUGCCCAGGCGGCAGCUCGCGCUGAAUGGGGCGCGGCCACCUGUCAAAGGUAUCCACCCUCGACCCCACCUACCCGCCCCCUGCCCAUCGCGUGCAGCACAGCCCUGACAAACAACGCAGCGAGGAAGGCCCACACCACCAGCGCGGCGUGCAUGAGAAAACAAAGGAGAGAAAAAAAAACGUAACGUGCGAUUCCGCCAUCGUCACUGGCGUCUUCGUGGCCGUGUGCUUUGUUUCGCUGUACCGGGGCAGCGGCCGUUUCUGGGCGGGCACGGCGCUGGCACGGAGGCCACGUCGCCUGCUGCAGCCGGCAUGUGGUGCUGCUGCCCCUGCGCACAUGAGCAACUCCCUCGUAUGGGGAUGCGGACUUUGUGCGCAUCCUUGCUUUCCUCUCCUCUCGCACCCGCUCCUCUCUAUCAUCCCCUGCCCCCUCCCCCGUUACUUUAUGUGCUUGAAG